rnacentral:rRNA from 1 species
GACGAACGCUGGCGGCGUGCUUAACACAUGCAAGUCGAACGGAAAGGCCCUGCUUUUGUGGGGUGCUCGAGUGGCGAACGGGUGAGUAACACGUGAGUAACCUGCCCUUGACUUUGGGAUAACUGCAGGAAACUGGGGCUAAUACCGGAUAGGAGCUCCUGCUGCUUGUUGGGGGUUGGAAAGUUUCGGCGGGUGGGGAUGGACUCGCGGCUUAUCAGCUUGUUGGUGGGGUAGUGGCUUACCAAGGCUUUGACGGGUAGCCGGCCUGAGAGGGUGACAGGCCACAUUGGGACUGAGAUACGGCCCAGAGUCCUACGGGAGGAAGCAGUGGGGAAUAGUGCACAAUGGGCGGAAGCCUGAUGCAGCAACGCCGCGUGCGGGAUGACGGCCGUCGGGUUGUAACCCGCUUUCGCCUGUGACGAAGCGUGAGUGACGGUAAUGUGUAAAGAAGCACCGGCUAACUACGUG